UCAUUAUUAACAUUCUGUAUAUAAUUCAAUUUUAUUUACUCUCCCCUUUUUAUUAUUUUUAUUUUUAGCUGAAAAGACGUUAAGGCAGUCAGCCCAGUGGUGUUUCUGGAGAGGGAUUCCUUCAGAAAUGGAGAAGACAGAAAGCUGCGGAGGCAGAUAUAUGCAGCAGUCUAAAAUAUCAAGCUCAACAGCUCACUCAAGAGCCAACCCUCACAAACCUUCCUAAAAACUAAAAGAGCUAUUACUGAGUCUCAGCGAAUCUUGCCAUGAUCAGCUCUUCCCAGAAGAGAAGGCAGACCAAGGAAAUGAUUUGCUCAGGAUGAGGAAUGAAGAUGGCCAUAUUGUGCUCAAACAAACAGAAGUCCUCUGGUAUGUGUGUGUUGAAGCAAUGCUGUGUUAUACAACAUUUUAUGAUGAUCUCUCACAGAACUGGUCAUGUCAGCCUUGAUUUCUUUUUUUACUAUUACAAUUACAGCAUGUUAGCAAAGUGUGACUGGACAUUUUUAAUAUUAUGUUUUUAAAAACACACCACCUGUUUUAA